GAUGAACGCUGGCGGCGUGCUUAACACAUGCAAGUCGAACGGAAAGGCCCAAGCUUGCUUGGGUACUCGAGUGGCGAACGGGUAGUAACACGUUGGGGAUCUGCCCUACACUUCGGGAUAAGCCUGGGAAACUGGGUCUAAUUCCGGAUAGGACGAUGGUUUGGCUGCCAUUGUGGAAAGUUUUUUCGGUGUGGGGUGAGCUCGCGGCCUAUCAGCUUGUUGGUGGGGUAAUGGCCUACCAAAGCGUCGACGGGGAGCCGGCCUGUGAGGGGGUAAGGCCACACAGUGACUGAGAUACAGCCCCGACUCCCACGGGGGGCAGCAGUGGGGAAUAUAGUACAAUGGGCGCAAGCGUGAUGCAGAGAAGCCGCGUGGGGGAUGACGGCCUUCGGGUUGUAAACUCCUGUCGCUAGGGACGAAGCGUUUUUGUGACGGUAACUGGAGAAGAAGCACCGGCUAACUACGUG
rnacentral:rRNA from 1 species